AGCCCUGCUACCAGGAUAUUUUUAACAUUCAUGAGCCAGCACUUUUUGCUGAUGAAAUAUUUUGUGUUGUUAUUUUAGAUCUGACAGCCAACAUACAUUUAAGAUCUUCAACUUAGUUCAUCAGAGUUUUGAAGUAGAUAAUAUGAUUAUCCAGCAUGUUGAAGCCAUAUUCUUCAAGGAAAUGUACUUAAGACAUAGAUAGUUCACCUAUUUGCUGAUGAAUAUACUAAACUAUUGUUGGAAAUGAGGCACAAUGUGUGACAUAGUUCUAUGCCCUAUUGAGCACCAGGGUUCUGGACUGAAAAGGACAAUCACUUGUAUCAACUUUACUGUAUUGGUCAAGAUAAAAAACACUUCAAUUGGGAUGGCAUGUGAGAAGUCAAUGACUUGUCUAUGUUUGACAGUAUACCAAAAGUGAAUUACAUUCUCAUAGAAUUUGUCUUUAGAAGUAUCCCUGAAAAAGCUGAAUACUACAGUGGCAGGUGUUACAAUAUUUGUACUUAAUUGUGAAACAAGUUUUAUAUAUGAAUCACUUUUUGCUUACAAAAACUGAAGACAUAUGAGGAGACAUAGUUGUUAUUACCCUGUUUGGGUCAAACCCUCAACAUGGGGUUGCAAGACUAUAAUUCAAGGACAUAAAUGACCUCUCAUUUGUGACUUCCCAUGUUUGCUAGAAUCUGUUAUUGUAAUUGUUUUAAAUUAAUUGAAAUUAUUUCAAUUUAAAAAUAUACUAAUAUGUUAUUCAUAUUAUACAAUUUAAAACACACUGAUCAGAAUAUGAUUACACUGUCUGUAUCUGUAACUGAAAAUUUAGUCAGGAACAUAACUAGUGCAAGCCCUU